CCUGAACAUACAACCCAAACCAACCCAGCAGAACCAAACAGAACAGAACAAAAUGCUCGAUUAGGACAUCUACCCACGGCCGGAUGUAAGUAAUAACUCACUGGACAACAGAAGACAUAUUAAUCCUGAGCUGAAAAUAGACCCUUAACACUGCGUCAUGUAGGAGUAGUCGCUCUGCAGCUGGCCCUUCAUGUCCUCGAUGGCGUCCUCCAUGUGCGUCUGGCUGGCCUUGAU